rnacentral:rRNA from 1 species
AGAGUUGAUCAUGGCUCAGGAUGAACGCUGGCGGCGUGCCUAACACAUGCAAGUCGAACGGAAGGUAAGCGCUUCGGAGACUUCGGUCAAUGUUUGCUUAUCUUUAGUGGCGGACGGGUGAGUAACGCGUGGAUAACCUGCCAUAUACAGGGGGAUAACAGUUAGAAAUGACUGCUAAUACCGCAUAAGCGCACGGAAACGCAUGUUUCAGUGUGAAAAAACUCCGGUGGUAUAUGAUGGAUCCGCGUCUGAUUAGCCAGUUGGCGGGGUAACGGCCCACCAAAGCGACGAUCAGUAGCCGGCCUGAGAGGGUGAACGGCCACAUUGGGACUGAGACACGGCCCAAACUCCUACGGGAGGCAGCAGUGGGGGAUAUUGCACAAUGGGGGAAACCCUGAUGCAGCCGACGCCGCGUGAGUGAAGAAGUAUUUCGGUAUGUAAAGCUCUAUCAGCAGGGAAGAUAAUGACGGUACCUGACUAAGAAGCACCGGCUAAAUACGUGCCAGCCGCCGC